rnacentral:lncRNA from 1 species
UUUAAAUUAAGGUGAUUUUUAACUUUCCAUUGUAUAUAUGAAAUUCAAAAAAGCUUAAUAAUUGUAUAUUAAAAAUUAAACCACAUGAGUGUUUAUUGUAUUUUACUUUUGGAGUGGCACAAGGAAACAUGAAUCAACUCAGAAGGGAGAAUUUCAGUGACAAGCUCUUUAACUACAUAAAUCUGUGUUGAACUUGAAUAUCCACAAUGCACUUUGGAAAGAUCUGUCAAUAUUUUGUCUUUCCCAUAACUGGAGUUUGAUGGUUGUCUUGAAAACAGAAGUUUGGUCUGCAGGAAUUAAUCCUAGUCACCUUUUGGGGAGAGGGGUUGUUACUCUAAUUUUCUGCCAAGAUUUGACAAUGGCAUUUGUCUUGGAGAAAUAUGGAACAGAUUUUUUUUUUUCUCCUUUUUGCAAAGAGAUACAGCAGAUGUUAAAUAACUGUGAUUUUGAGAAGAGGUCUUCAGCUGAUUCACUGGGAUUGUGGAACCAAUGUGAUGGCAGCUUUUUGUUUCCAGGAGUGCUGCAGCACAAUUCCUGUGGAUCGUGCUGCAAAAGGGCAGUGUGUGCAUGGCACACCUUGCUGCUCGUUCUUAGCAAAGGGGGAUGUGCUACAGGCUGCAGGGGCUGCACUGCCAGUCGUGGGGAGUCCUAAGGAUGCAUUUUUAGCAUCACCAACUCUUCCUAUAAUGCACGAGUUUUUCCUUCCUCACAGCUCCACCAUCUUAUUACCAGAUGUGAAAAUUCAGACCCUAAUGUUCUGAAUGACUCUGUCCUUCCAUCUCUAGCUCCUUCUCUGGAACCUCCUGCCAUCCAUCAUGCUUUGCUGGUGUGGUUCAAAUAUGCUUUACUCUAGCAACAAGUUUUUCCUCUUAAUUAUCCAUUCAAGGGCCUUUUAAACUCAAGGACCUUGGAGACACAGAGGUCAAAAUAAUUGUGAGGUGGGAUUUAAGUGAUGCUCAGUACUUCUGACUCAUUUUGCUUUUAGGCUGUAUUGGUGAGUACUGAGCAUUCUAGAAAGAUGCUAUAUUGAGACACAUCAAAAUGGAUUUAGAUGGGCAAUUUUAAUGUUAAAUAUACCUCCAAGAUUUGAUGUGAAUGCCCUCCAUAACGAAUGUCUGAUACCUUGGGUACUUCUCACAGGUAGAGCAUCUUUUGAUCAGGAAAGAUCUCAGAGUGGUUAAUGGGUACUGCAUAAAUCUGUCCAGCCCUCUUACAUGGAAGCUGCUCUCACAACUGAAGCAUGAUACACAGAAGAAAAACUAAAAUCAAUGGUGCUGAUGAGAAAAUGGGAUCGGACAGAGUGAGUAUGAAUUUUUCUCUUUGAAGAUUUGUAUACUUAAAUUUUACUAUGACUGCUGCAAAAUGUGUUCUUUUGUAAACUAAAAUGUAAACUGUGUGUAGUUCUUGUAGUCGUGGAUAGUCUCGUCCAUGUACUUGAAUAAUGGAAAAAAAAUCUACAAACUUAUGUUUGAUUAAAUCCAUGCUAGAAAAUGAGCAGUUUUCCAAUUCCAAUUGCUCCAGUUGCUACUUCAGUCUGAUCCUGAGGAGCUGAGAAGAGCAAAGCAAAUCCUGGCAAGUGUUACACCUAUACUGCUUUUUCAAUUUUUAGACUGAAAACAAUAAUUUCUGUCAAACCCUGACAGAAAAUUCCAAACAAAAUACUCUUUAGGAUCUGCAAGUUAUCCCAUGAGCAGGUGGCCACUACCUUGACAUGUGACAGAGAUAGCAUUUGCUUAGCAGAAAAUUCAGGCAGAACACUUUUUCUUUGCUAUUGAGUCACAAGUCCUUAAGUUGUAUCUCAUGCUGUUGGGAG